rnacentral:rRNA from 1 species
CCUACGGGACGCAUCAGUGGGGAAUAUUUCACAAUUUUUUGCCCCCUUAUUCAGCGACGCCGCGUGGGUGAAGGAGUACUUCGGUACGUAAAGCCCUAUCAGCAGGAAAGAAAAUGACGGUACCUGACUAAGAAGCCCCGGCUAACUACGUGCCAGCAGCCGCGGUAAUACGUAGGGGGCAAGCGUUAUCCGGAUUUACUGGGUGUAAAGGGAGCGUAGACGGCAGUGCAAGUCCGGAGUGAAAGCCCGGGGCUCAACCCUGGGACUGCUCUGGAAACUGUAAAGCUGGAGUGCGGGAGGGGCAG